GGGAAUGCACGACGCGCGCGAUACUCGCACAAAGUGAGAAGAUUUAGUUCACGGAGAAUGCAUAUGGAUUGAAACUGAAGAGCUGGAAGGAGGACAUUACAACAUCUCUUAUAUUUGCAAGAUGAAGCAGAAAGUCCCAUGCAGGAUGAUGCCUCUCUACAGUGGAUGAUGAAGGCAUUCUGGUUUGCAAACUCAGGAGAGGAACAAAGAACAGAUGUUGACGGGAUCAUAUCUAGAGAUGCGGGCCUACUACACUUCAUACGAGCAAGUGUGCUAAUAUACAUGAAGGUA